GGGGGAAGCCACGUGCAGUCCGUGAGCGGGGAAGCGGGGAGGCGGUUAAACUGUCAAAACUGUCCGAGUUAGCAGAGAAGCGGGCGUAAGAGGUCUGGCGCACGGAGGCGGCGGCUGGGUCAAACCAUGCAGUAAAGGAUUUAUCCUGACACUGCACUUAUAUAGUGCCGAAGCCGUCUGUCUCUGUAAACAUCCUGGCAGCUAUUAAUGUGCUUAAUUGUAUGUUCGCAGUCUCCUCGGCUAAAAACUGUAAGAGCAGUCUCAACAGAUUGUUUCGCUGCACAUCGUUGCAAUUCUGGAGUUACUUAGGUAGCACCUUGUGCAGGCUCCUGAGGAAAAAAUGUGUUACAACAAACACAGUUCUGGUCUUAUGAUAUAAUAGUACUAAUUAAACAGAACUAAGGAGAAGAUGUGAUCAGAGGAACUAUAUCAGAGAGGAAAGGUACCAUUGGAGAAGGCAGAAUGAUAAUCUUCUGUACAAAUGGCUUCUGUGGCAUGUUGCCAAAAACAGGGUCUAUUGUAGCCGGUAUCUACACGAUUCUAAUGACCAAUAUGUAUAUUAUCUUUGAAACGGCUCACCUGGAUCGAGCAAAGAAGCGCCUACGCAUUACUAAGGAUAUGAUCAUAUAUUACUAUUAUACAGCACUUCUCCUGGCUAGUCUAACUUAUCCUGUAAGUUUCCUACUCAUCUAUUCUGUUUGGAAUCGAAACACAAAGGGCAUGAUAGUCUACAUUGUUUGGAUAAUAUUGUAUGACCUAGCCAAUUUCACUAUUCUAAUCCUGACUUUCUUGGCUGCACGUUAUAGCCCCUUUUCUGUUCAUCCUUUGGAAUGGUUUGGGUUGGCCUGCCGGUUGCCUGUGGACUGCUUUUGGCUUUCCUAUGUUGUAAUUUAUACUCUGAUGAUUCUUGAAAGCAGAAGCAAAGGGCGGGUGUCACUGAAAAUUAGACGGUUGUCUAAACAUGUGCAAGAACCUCCCAAGUAUAGGUUGGGGAUGUGCAGGAAAAUCCAGUGAAAGCUGACGAAUAACUAUUACGUGCACUGGUGUACAUCAGGCUUACAAAAGUCAUGAUCUACCAAGACUGCACAGCUCACCAACCAUGUACUGCUGUUCACCUUAGGUGUUUAAUAGCCCUCAUGUUUUUGCCACUUGUCUGGCUCUGAAGAAAACAGCAGAGGAUAUUAAGCAUCUGACAAAGUACAAUAUAUGGCCAACAGGCUUGUAUUUGGCUUGGUGGAUCAUAAAUGGUACAAACUGGCUACACAUACAGGCAUCCCUAGUAUUUAAUGUGGUUUAAUUAGCUUUUAUUGCUUUAUCUUCAGAUUGGCUUGGAGUUCUUAAUAGACAUAAGCCUUUUGUCGGUUUUUGCAGUCCUCCCCCCACAGGCUCUUGUUUUGUAUCACUGAGUCACAGGGCAUGAGAACUGAAAUACUUGGGCAGAGGGAUGCUUCUGUUUCUAACUUCACCAUAUUGCCAGGUGCAACUGUAUCACAGUUGCUUGCCUCUGAUAAAGUGAGAUUCUAUAGUAAACACCUGGAUGGUCAUAU